rnacentral:rRNA from 1 species
UACGUAGGUGGCAAGCGUUGUCCGGAUUUACUGGGCGUAAAGAGCGCGCAGGCGGUCGUUCAAGUCGAGUGUGAAAGCCCCCGGCUCAACUGGGGAGGGUCACUCGAUACUGAUCGACUCGAAGGCAUAAGAGGGAAGCGGAAUUCCCGGUGUAGUGGUGAAAUGCGUAGAUAUCGGGAGGAACACCAGUGGCGAAGGCGGCUUUCUGGUCUGCUCUUGACGCUGAGGCGCGAAAGCUAGGGUAGCAAACGGG